UGAGGAAUAUUCCGUCAAUGGGCGAGAGCCUGAACCAGCCAAGUAGCGUGCAGGAUGACGGCCCUAUGGGUUGUAAACUGCUUUUGUAUGGGGAUAAAGUCAAUCACGUGUGAUUGUUUGCAGGUACCAUACGAAUAAGGACCGGCUAAUUCCGUGCCAGCAGCCGCGGUAAUACGGAAGGUCCGGGCGUUAUCCGGAUUUAUUGGGUUUAAAGGGAGCGUAGGCUGGAGAUUAAGUGUGUUGUGAAAUGUAGACGCUCAACGUCUGACUUGCAGCGCAUACUGGUUUCCUUGAGUACGCACAACGUUGGCGGAAUUCGUCGUGUAGCGGUGAAAUGCUUAGAUAUGACGAAGAACUCCGAUUGCGAAGGCAGCUGACGGGAGCGCAACUGACGCUGAAGCUCGAAGGUGCGGGUAUCGAACAGGAUUAGAUACCCUGGUAGUCCGCACAGUAAACGAUGGAUGCCCGCUGUUGGUACGUGGUAUCAGCGGCUAAGCGAAAGCAUUAAGCAUCCCACCUGGGGAGUACGCCGGCAACGGUG
rnacentral:rRNA from 1 species